rnacentral:rRNA from 1 species
GAUGAACGCUAGCUACAGGCUUAACACGUGCAAGUCGAGGGGAAACGAUAGAGAAAGCUUGCUUUUUCUAGGCGUCGACCGGCGCACGGGUGAGUAACGCGUAUCCAACCUGCCCAUCACUUGGGGAUAACCUUGCGAAAGUAAGACUAAUACCCAAUGACGUCUCUAGAAGACAUCUGAAGGAGAUUAAAGAUUUAUCGGUGAUGGAUGGGGAUGCGUCUGAUUAGCUUGUUGGCGGGGUAACGGCCCACCAAGGCGACGAUCAGUAGGGGUUCUGAAAGGAAGGUCCCCCAGCUUGGAACUGAGACAGCGUCCAAACUCCUACGGGAGGCAGCAGUGAGGAAUAUUGGUCAACGGACGAGAGUUUUAAACAGCCAAGUAGCGUGCAGGAUGACGGCCCUAUGGGGUGUAAACUGCUUUUAUAAGGGAAUAAAGUGGGAGUCGUGACUCCUUUUGCAUGUACCUUAUGAAUAAGGACCGGCUAAUUCCGUGCCAGCCGCCGCAGUAA